UUGGAGGGCAAGUCUGGUGCCAGCAACCGCGGUAAUUCCAGCUCCAAUAGCGUAUAUUAAAGUUGUUGCAGUUAAAAAGCUCGUAGUUGAAUUUCGGAAUCUGUCCGUCGGUCGGGCUUCACUGUCCGUACUGGUGUGAUGGGUUUCUACCUUCUGAAUAACCGGCAUGUCAUUAAUUUGGUGCGCCGGGGAAGCAGAACUAUUACCUUGAAAAAAUUAGAGUGCUUAAAGCAGGCUAUCGCCUGAAUAGAUUAGCAUGGAAUAAUAAAAUAGGACGGCAUGGUUCUAUUUUGUUGGUUUCUAGGAUCACCGUAAUGAUUAAUAGGGAUAGUUGGGGGCAUUAGUAUUCAAUUGUCAGAGGUGAAAUUCUUGGAUUUAUUGAAGACUAACUUCUGCGAAAGCAUUUGCCAAGGAUGUUUUCAUUAAUCAAGAACGAAAGUUAGGGGAUCGAAGACGAUCAGAUACCGUCGUAGUCUUAACCAUAAACUAUGCCGACUAGGGAUCGGACGAUGUUAAUUUUUUAAUGACUCGUUCGGCGCCUUACGGGAAAC
rnacentral:rRNA from 1 species